rnacentral:lncRNA from 1 species
AGACCACUCUUUCUCUCUCUAAACAACUGCUCUCUAGAACCUUCUGCUUCUCUCCUUCUUAUCCGAUGAAACUCGUCGCCUCUCCAACCAUACCCCUCCCUGAGUUCUCUCGAUCUCUAGUCGCCAUGGAACCCUCAUCAUCGUUACUCUCCUCUGAAGCUUGAAGUCCAAUGACAUCCGCAUGAAAUACGGUUACUGAAGCUUCACUUGGGUCUGUUUCUGUCUUUUCACUAGUGGUUUUUGUCCGAUGAUGCCUUCUAUAGCAUUAUAUACGAGUUUCACGGCCAAGUUCUACUCAAACCUCUUUAGUCUGCUCUUUUAAAACGACUCUCAGUUUGAUUUUGUUUUCUACUCUAAUUUUUACUUAGUGUUUCCAAUUAUUUCAAUCUUCAGAUGGUUACUACUCUUUCAAAUUGGGGUUUCUGACCCCCUUCUCAACGUCGUUUCUUCUGCUCUUUCUGAGUACUAUAUGUUCAUUUGUGUUUACUUGUUUACUUGUUUGUUUGGUGUCCUUGUUAACCUGGGUCCAUGCUUUAAUUUUUCUUGCUUGGAUUUCUGACCCUUUUUAAUCAUUAUGCUUCUGUUUCUUUUGGGUAUUAUGUGGUUACUCCGAUGCUAUGUGCUGGAAACCUUUUGUUUUCUGAGUUCCGUGCCUUAAUUCUCUUCUAGGGCUCUGACUCACCACUAGUUUAUUCAAUUUAUUUCUUGGGGUUCUUAGUUUUGUGAUUUUUGUGCAUAAAUAAAUUCGAAUGCCUUUCUUUACUGAAUAUUCUUUUAAUUCCGAGCAUCUUUUUGAAUCCUUAAUUUGUAGAUGUUCUUACAUUGAUUGUUAAAAUUGUUUCCUUACUUAUGAGAUUACUCUCUAUGUUUGGGACUGAUUCCCUCUUAUUUUUUUCUUGCCCGUGAUUCUUUGAUUGAUUUUCAUGGUUAAUUUAUAUGGUCACCAUAACUGUGCACUUAAAUAUAUAUUUGGCUAUCCCGCGUAUAUUUUUCCUUGCUUGAGGCAUUUGUACCUAGACUCUAUUACAUGCAGCAUGCUUACUGCUUUUGUUAUGGUAUAAUCAGUCAUCAGAUUUAUUCUUUCCUUACUGUGUAGCCUAUACUCCUAUUCGAUCAUGAGUCCGUAAUUACCCUUUUCUCAACUAUUUUUCAAGAAGCUAUAAGUACUACUCCUAUCUUAUCACUAGAAACAUAGACACACGAAUACAAUUUCUCUAAACCUUCUUUAAAAAAAACACACAUUGCAUAUCUCUCACAAAUCCAAACUCUCUGCACUAUUUCUCUCACUUUCUCUAAUGUUGCUACACUCUCUCAUUCUUCUAUUUUGAACAUUCAAUAGGCUAAAAGCCAAGAUUGAGUAAGCUUGGUCGUCUACUACACUACUAGGUUUCUACUGCAUUAUUUGGGUUUGCCUGUUGCUUGCUUCUCUGCACUGUUGUUCUCACAUUGCUGCUCUCAUUCUCUGCACACUUUGCUCUCUUUUUGUUCACUAUUUCUCAUUGCUAUUGUUUUCUAUUACCUGCAACUGGUAUGUCACCCCUUUAAGAUACAGUUUCCACAAAAACAUGUUUCUAUUAAUGUUGCAUUUGAUAAUGUUUCUUGUAUGCUUUUACUUAUGGUUUUGUUGCUCUUUUUUUCACUAGCAUGUUACUUACUAGUCUAUAUUGUGCAGUUUAACAUGAUCCCACACUCCCUUCCCCUGUCUCAAAGAAUGUUUACUUUUGUACUACUACCAUGCAUCCAUGUCUCCUUGGCUACUUGGUUAACCUAAUCCUCUGUUUGAGGCUAAGUGUAUUAGAGUUUGGUACAGUAAGAACUGAACUCUUGUUUUACAACCAUGUCUGGUUAGUUUCUUUGUUUCCUGUGUGAGUAGUUUACUUUGCUUAUUUGUUCCCUUCCCCUUUGCUCUCAUUUGUGUGAUGCUCUAUUGUUCUAAAACUUGUCAGUCUAAAUGGUUUCAGAAGAACUUCUCCAAUUGUUACAAUAAUUUUCUUAAACUGUCUCAACUUUUCCAACUCUUUCAACUAUUUUCGUAAACUCUCUCAAUUAUUUCAACUACUUUCUUAAACAUUCUCUCAACUGUUUUUAACUCUCUCAAUUUUAAUCACAAUCUCAUUCUUAGAGAUUAAGGGUCUUCCCCCUUAGUGUAAGCAUUCCCUUGGCAGCCUUAAGCACUCAUCAAAAUUUGAUGCUCAAGGCUGGCACUUCCACACUUGUCUGAUUAUGAUGUUAUGGAUGCUUGGUAUUGGCCAAGGGUUCAAACGAACUUUUAGGGAACUUUUCCGCACCCAAGCCUUGCUAAUGACUGUGAAACUCGAAAGAAGUGAGGUUGGAGAUCUUGGGCCUGGCUGUAGGCUCCCUAUAGAAUAGCUUCUCCUUUUUUUUCACUGUUGUAUUUUUAAAUUACUUGGUCUGUAAUAACUUGCAAAGAACAAUGGGUAUUUUAGUGAAAUUGGGGAAGGUUAUGCAUGAUUAUUAAAGGUAUG